CCUACGGGGGGCAGCAGUGGGGAAUAUUGCACAAUGGGGGAAACCCUGAUGCAGCGACGCCGCGUGAGUGAAGAAGUAUCUCGGUACGUAAAGCUCUAUCAGCAGGGAAGAAAAUGACGGUACCUGACUAAGAAGCCCCGGCUAACUACGUGCCAGCAGCCGCGGUAAUACGUAGGGGGCAAGCGUUAUCCGGAUUUACUGGGUGUAAAGGGAGCGUAGACGGCAGCACAAGUCUGGAGUGAAAUCCCGGGGCUUAACCGCGGAACUGCUGUUGAAACUGUGCGGCUGGAGUGCAGGAGGGGUAAGCGGAAUUCCUAGUGUAGCGGUGAAAUGCGUAGAUAUUAGGAGGAACACCGGUUGCGAAGGCAGCUUACUGGACUGUAACUGACGUUGAGGCUCGAAAGCGUGGGGAGCAAACAGGAUUAGAUACCCGUGUAGUC
rnacentral:rRNA from 1 species